rnacentral:rRNA from 1 species
UUAGCGGCGGACGGGUGAGUAACACGUGGAUAACCUACCUAUAAGACUGGGAUAACUUCGGGAAACCGGAGCUAAUACCGGAUAAUAUUUUGAACCGCAUGGUUCAAAAGUGAAAGACGGUCUUGCUGUCACUUAUAGAUGGAUCCGCGCUGCAUUAGCUAGUUGGUAAGGUAACGGCUUACCAAGGCAACGAUGCAUAGCCGACCUGAGAGGGUGAUCGGCCACACUGGAACUGAGACACGGUCCAGACUCCUACGGGAGGCAGCAGUAGGGAAUCUUCCGCAAUGGGCGAAAGCCUGACGGAGCAACGCCGCGUGAGUGAUGAAGGUCUUCGGAUCGUAAAACUCUGUUAUUAGGGAAGAACAUAUGUGUAAGUAACUGUGCACAUCUUGACGGUACCUAAUCAGAAAGCCACGGCUAACUACGUGCCAGCAGCCGCGGUAAUACGUAGGUGGCAAGCGUUAUCCGGAAUUAUUGGGCGUAAAGCGCGCGUAGGCGGUUUUUUAAGUCUGAUGUGAAAGCCCACGGCUCAACCGUGGAGGGUCAUUGGAAACUGGAAAACUUGAGUGCAGAAGAGGAAAGUGGAAUUCCAUGUGUAGCGGUGAAAUGCGCAGAGAUAUGGAGGAACACCAGUGGCGAAGGCGACUUUCUGGUCUGUAACUGACGCUGAUGUGCGAAAGCGUGGGGAUCAAACAGGAUUAGAUACCCUGGUAGUCCACGCCGUAAACGAUGAGUGCUAAGUGUUAGGGGGUUUCCGCCCCUUAGUGCUGCAGCUAACGCAUUAAGCACUCCGCCUGGGGAGUACGACCGCAAGGUUGAAACUCAAAGGAAUUGACGGGGACCCGCACAAGCGGUGGAGCAUGUGGUUUAAUUCGAAGCAACGCGAAGAACCUUACCAAAUCUUGACAUCCUUUGACAACUCUAGAGAUAGAGCCUUCCCCUUCGGGGGACAAAGUGACAGGUGGUGCAUGGUUGUCGUCAGCUCGUGUCGUGAGAUGUUGGGUUAAGUCCCGCAACGAG